UACGUAGGGUGCGAGCGUUAAUCGGAAUUACUGGGCGUAAAGCGUGCGUAGACGGUUAUGUAAGUCGGGUGUGAAAGCCCCGGGCUCAACCUGGGAAUUGCAUUCGAGACUGGAUAGCUAGGGUGCGGAAGAGGGAAGCGGAAUUUCAGGUGUAGCGGUGAAAUGCGUAGAUAUCUGAAGGAACACCAGUGGCGAAAGCGGCUUCCUGGUCCAGCACCGACGUUCAGGCACGAAAGCGUGGGGAGCAAACAGG
rnacentral:rRNA from 1 species